rnacentral:ncRNA from 1 species
GAAAACGCAUGGAAGAGAAAUAGUACGUUCCGAAAGGGAUCGCAGAGAGCCGCUGGAUGGUGAAAAGCGGCAGACCGACGGAAGGGAACUCAUCUCUGAGCAGCGCAGCUGAAACAAGUAGGCCGCGACGGAGCCUCACCGUUACAGAGAGGGGAUGGGAUCCAUCCGAAGAGCCUCCUCCGGGAGGGAAAUAGAGUGGUAACACGCAGGCAAAGCCUUUCGUCUCUUGACGAAAGGCUUUUUGUUUUUCUUCGCCGGCUCCCAUCGGCAAAGCGCACCGGCAGGGUGAAUCAGAGUGGUACCGCGGAAAUCAGGCAUCUUUCGUCUCUUAU